rnacentral:rRNA from 1 species
ACGCACGUGUGAGACUUGAAGGAAUUGACGGAAGGGCACCACAAGAACGCGUGGAGCAUGUGGCUUAAUUUGACCCAACGCGGGAAAUCUUACCGGGUCCGGACACACUGAGGAUUGACAGGCAAUAUUAUAAUACGCUUGUCGUAUUGUAUGUUAAAUAUGCUAGUCCUUUCAUGAUUAUGUGAUAGGUGGUGCAUGGCCGUUCUUAGUUCGUGGAGUGAUCUGUCUGCUUAAUUGCGUUUCACUAAGGACCUAUACAUUUACGUGUGUUGCAGCACUUUGACCCCUCACUUCGGUGAGCUGCGUGUCUUAGUUUCGCUUGCUCGCACAAUUAGGUUCUGAAAGCAACGAACGUGACCG